GUGCUCGCUUCAGCAGUAUAUAUACUAAAAUUGGACCGAUACAGAGAAGAUUAGCAUGGCCCCUAUUCAAAGAUGACAUGCAAAAUUUGUCAAUCAUUCCAAUUGUUU
rnacentral:snRNA from 1 species